rnacentral:ncRNA from 1 species
UUGAACGGGAAACAGGAAGCGAUGCGCAUCCAGCGGCGCCUCGCGUGGCCUGUGCUGUCCUCGCAACGGUACGCCGCCGGCGGCGCGCGCAAGCGGGCCGCGCGGAUCGACGAACGCCACUGCCGCGCGCGGCGGGAAGGCCUCGAUCCGUUCGUUUCGAUCGGCGGUCAGCCCGGAUACCG